UUUGAAUCUUUGAACGGGACUUAGUCUCCAGCCGCAGUGUCCAAGUGGAGGAGAAGGCACGUCACCGGUGUUCGUGCAAUUGGGUAGCCGAAAACAGUUCCAUAGAUUUGGCUGCACACACCGCUGACGGAGUGCGAAUGAGUUAAAAUGGCCGCUGCCACGUGUUCGUUUGUGCCCAUUUAAAGUUGCAACACUGCUCCAAAGUAAUUAUAGGGCCAGAAACAGCAUUAUAAAAAUCCAUUAUGCCCAAAUCAGUUCCUUAAAGGGCAAUACAUCCCAGGGGCCAUAGUCACAUGGCAGGAGGCUGGCAAUCAGGCUUCUCCAUAACCCAGUGGCGAGGUUAGUUUAGC